rnacentral:rRNA from 1 species
ACGUAGGGGGCGAGCGUUGUCCGGAAUUACUGGGCGUAAAGGGUGCGUAGGUGGCCUUUUAAGUUGGAUGUGAAAUACCCGGGCUUAACUUGGGGGGUGCAUAUAAUACUGGAGGGCUAAAGUGCAGGAGAGGAAAGCGGAAUUCCUAGUGUAGGAGUGAAAUGCGUAAAUAUUAGGGGGAACACCAGUGGCGGAGGCGGCUUUCUGGACUGGAUCUGACACUGAGGCACGAAAGCGUGGGGAGCAAACAG